ensembl:lncRNA
AAUGAACAAUGUGUUACCUUUCGCAUUUUUGUAUCUCUACUCACAGAUAGUCUUAAGCCUGCAAGGCAUUAUGGGUGUUGAAGUUUUCCAUUUUUGUCCACAGCAAUUUUUCUGUUUUCUCUAGUAAUGCAACACUGAUUAACCUACUACAGUACAGUAACCUUUUAUAGAUAACCCAUGUAACCAUUAAAUAUAACCUUAUUAUUAGAAUUUUAUGCAGUUGCCAGAUAGUUUUAUCCAAAGCAUGUUACAGUGCAUUUGCAAUAUAUUUUAUCAGUUCUUUAUGUUCCCUGAGAAAUGAAACCAUGACCUUGCCAUUGCUAGCUCAUACAUAUAAAAAAGUAAAGUAUGAACAUAAGCAGUUCUCUCUGAAUACCGUAGGUCUUGGAACUUAAAAUGUGUUGUUGUGGUGAGAACUUUGAGCAUGAGAACGGAUGCUGAAAUGUGUGUUUUUAACUGUGUGAACUUCCUAUUUGCUAGGUUGUAAUAAAAUGUAGAAUAGUUCUGUUUUUAGUUUGAACGCGAUCACACUGAAUUACAGGAAGUUUGACAGAAUUAACUUUUGUUCACAUAACCCAAGACUGACACACAAAGCUAUAUGUACCAAUCUUUAAUUUUUUUUUUGUCAAGCAGAAAGAUUGUAAUAGCAAACUAAAUCAGGUAAAAGGCUUAAAUGGAUAAAAUUACUAAUUUGCUGACAAAUUAUGUUGAUAUUAUUAUAUGACCUUGAUAUCAAAUUGACCCUGAGAUUAUCUUAAAGGGAUACUCCACCCCAAAAUGAAAAUGUUGUCAUUAAUCACGCAGAUGGCGUACGCUCUUCUGUGUCAGCUGCACCACAAGGAUACGUUUUUUACAUGUAUUUACGCUUUGGUUUGAAAGUAAACAGCUCAUCGGCGCAGCGCAAAUGAUACAGAAGAGCAUAUGCUGUCUGCGUACUGCUCAGAUUCUCUAAAAUGGCGCAAUGCUGAUUUGGAGAGACACAGAGGAGAGGAAUUGUUGAAUAAAGUCGUUAUUUUUGUUUCUUCGUGUACAAAAAGUAUUCUCGUCGCUUCAUAACGUUACGGUUGAAUCAUUGAUGGUAGAUGGUGUAUUCUGAAGAUGCUUUUCAUACUUUCCUGGACCUUGACACUGUUAUUUAUUUGGCAGUCUAUGGGACAGUCACAAGCCUCCCAGUUUUCAUCCAAAAUAUCUUAAAUUGUGUUCUGAAGACAAACAAAGCUUUUACGGGUUAGAAACGACAUGGGGGUAAGUGAUUGACAAAAUUAUCAUUUUGGGGUGGAGUAUCCCUUUAAGGUUCUCUCUAAAGAUCUCUUUACACUUUGUAAUAAAUAAAUAAAUAGUUCAAUCUGUUUAUUACUGAUCCUGCUGUUUAUUUAUUUAUUUUAUUUUUUUGCAAUUGCAUUUACCCUAGAAGCCAUAAGGGGCAAACAAACAAAUAAAGCAACAGCGGUAUGCUGUUGAAGAACUUUGAACUUCUCUUUUUUAUUAACAAACUGCUCUAAAGUGCAGGACACAAACUUUUAGAACUAUAUAUUCAUAUAUCGUUUAAAUAUCUCGAACAUAAAUAUACCAAAUACAGUCACAGAUUUCAGAUGUCAGUUUACAAUAAAAAUAAUGUAGCUUUAAGAACAGUAAGCCAUGAGCUUAGGCAGCAGCAGCAGACAGUGGAAUAUAUAUAAGUAUAUGGCUGCAUUAACUUCCUGUACUUAAGGUUAACAAUGAUUUUGUUCUUUUUAGGCACUUAUUAGUUUUGUUCUGCUUAUAUUAAAAUCCUUCUUUUAAUGUUAGAUCAGUGGCAAAGUGUGUACAUCAAGUAAGUCAGGAAUUCCAUCCUGAGCUAGUGUGCAUGCUAAUACUUUUGUCAAGCAUGCUUUGUAACAGGCUUGGAUGUAUUUGUGGAAGUGCUUGGAAAACCUUGCCUGUGCUUGUUUCCAUAAACAUUAAUGAAUGCAGGCAGUAGUAUUCGGUCAUCAUUUUGGUUACUUCCAAACCUGUAUGAUUUUCUGAGAUGUUUUGAAGAAUGCACGAGUAGCUCAUUUCAAUGCAUUUACACUAGGUUUAGAACAAGUGAGUAAAUGACGAAAAAUAUCCAUUUAGGAAUAAAAGUUUUCCUUGCAGGUUUAGUUUUCUGAAGUAGUCAGUGCAACUGUAAGUGUGUGUGUGUGUGUGUGUGUGUGUGUGUGUGUGUGUGUGUGUGUGUGUGUGUACAUGUGAUGUUGAUUAUUGCAGAGGAUCUUUCUUGUUUUGGUAGGGCAGCAGGUUCAUGUUGUACUGGCUGAGCCACUGGCGUGAGAUCUGAUAAAAGAAUCCUGGUGCAUUCCGACACUGCGAUGAUGACAUCAGCUGCCAAAAAAAAAAGCUUAAAAGGUCAGUGAACCCACUUAGGGUUAGGGUUAGUCAUUCAGGGUUGGAAAAACAUGGGGCUGAGUAAAUAAUGACAGUUUCAUUUUGGGGUUGCCUGUCUUUAGGAGUGUAUAAAUCAUCCUCGGUCUAUAUCCUGCUGUAAAUCUUAAAAGUAAGAUUAAGGCUUAAUGGUUAGAGAGUCGGACUUGUAACCAGAAGGUUGUGGUUUAAGUCUCAGGGACUGUAUAUAUGUUGAGUAUACACACACACACACACACACACACAAAAUGUUUUCAAACUUGGAAUCGUACAUGGACCACAGUUUGAGAACACACAUACACAGACCUUGGUUUGAAUAAGUGCUCCAGGAUGAUCUUCCAGAUCUUCUGGUUCAAGAUCUAAAAGAGUAGUGGUCUAAAAAAAAAAAAAAAAAGUUUCUUAAUUUUCAUAGCACAUCAAAAGUCUGAAUAUAUACAGUAUGGCACACCUUUGACCCAAACAAGC